UUUGUUAAUUGACGUUUUACUGAUCGACGCCAAUCGGCGUGUGAUGUGGUCAGCGUUCGCACAAUUUUCUUACCGACACGGCUCGACAAUAAUAACGAUAUCAUACUAUACCGGUGUGUUGUGUUUGACGAUAACAAUUACGGACUCGCUCGUCGAUGAACCAUUAAUACGGUCAAGGGAAUAAGUAAACUCCAUUUUCGGAGUUUCCCCCGGAUCGACUGACCAUUAACAGCACCUAUCUAUCAAGAUAUAAUCCGUUUAGAACGCGGACUUUUUCGAGGAGUCCGUGGAGGAAAAAUAGGAAUGUGUUGUCAUUGUGUUGUGCCCGUGUAAGCGUAUUGUAAAUUAGUUGAAAUACACUACAGCGCGACCUCAGAACAAUAUCGGAUAUAAAAUAAAAGAACAAAACCGAAUAUAAAACACUUGGAUCACAUACAAUUUACAGUAUGGUCAAAGACAAGGCAAUACAUCGUGACAAAAUGAUAACGAAUGAUAACAACUACAAACGUUCAAUGUUCAUAUCUUUAAAUUUUACAAUUGAUCGAUUCACUCCAGUAUUAAAACUAACGGCACAAAAUCGUCCCUGAUGAAAGGAAAUUUGCUAACGCAUACACGAGUAUCACGGCCUCUUGAACACGGUGACACCGAUUCUCGCGGCUUACUUAAUAAUAUUAUUUACGUGUACAUAAAAAUUAAUAGGGAUAAUUUGUUAUUUUUUAUUUCGAAAAUCAAAAAAAAAAA